UGCAGCUGGAUCAGCCCGCUGAGACUGGGCUGCAUUCUGAAGCCGGGUGGGGAGCAAUAUAUGUCAAUCACCAGCCUUGCUAAGGACCCGUUCCUUUGACAGGCAGAACCAGUGGCUCCAUAAAUGACCAUGUGGCCAAAAUACUCUCAUAGUCUGCCCUUUAAAAUAUCUCAGCAAUCGAUGACAUCCCUCCAGGAUCUCAACUACAGUAACACAAAUGUCUUUCAAAAUCUAAACCAGGCCAGGCAUCCUGAUUUUUAUAACCAUGCAAGUAUGUCUACAUCCAUGAUGCAACACUAGACUGUGGCCAGCACUUUUAUCUAAUUUCCAACUGGCCUGGGAAUGAAAACAGAAGCCAAGACUAUAGAUACAUGUCCGUCCAGUGGAGCCCACAUCUCUCUCCAACGGACUGUUGUUCCCAUAGCCUGGUACAUGUCGCUCUGAAACCUGGUAACCCUCAGUAACUGUGACAUUUAGAGGUAGAAAAGGGCAAAAGGAACAGGGUAGGGCCAUUGUAAAUAGAAUCUGAAAGGUUUUAUUUAUUGGGUUCUGCUCUUUUACAAUUUUGACCCAAACAAUAGCAUUUUCCUUCCAAGCUGACCUAAUGAAGCCGAGACACAACAAAGACCUAUUCAAUUUGUACACAAUGACCAAGGACUUCCAAACACGACCCCAAAAGACACCUCAAGGCCGCCACAGCACACUUCCUCCAGACCUGUCCCAUGAUUAGAUGAUGCUGCUUGGACUUUGGCUGGUGGCGAAUCAACUUUCAAGGCACAGAAUACCCACACCAUUUCUCUUUCCCCAAUGCUUCUGGGCUGCUGCGUCCACUCUAGCAUGCACUUGGUCUAUUCCUCAAGUAUCAGGUGUGGCAGUUCUUCAGUAUAACUUUAAAGGAAAAUCAACUGAAAACUCCAUGCAAGGGAAUCGCCACUGCCUCCAGGAAGUUCUCAUGUGACUAUCCAGCACCAGGGGGCGAGCUGGCUGGGCACCUGGGGGCUGGCACAGCAGCACCAGGAGAGCAGGCUGGCUGGGCACCUGGGGGCUGGCACAGCAGCACCAGGGGAUCGAGCUGGCUGGGCACCUGGGGGCUGGCACAGGAGCUUGGAGCAGCUGCUCAGUGCCCGUUAGGUACUCAGGAUUCUCUUUAGGUUACUCUCCUAGAAAAUUAGGAAAAUAAUGACAUGUAUGUGACAGAUUAAGAAUGGAAAAUGGAUGGUUUCUUAAGUUGAGAAACUCACCUGGAAUUAAACAGAAAUAUGAGUAAAAAGAGAAAAUAGAAAAAAACAAACAAACAACAAAACAAAACCACUACUAGACCCAGAAAAGGAAGCGGACUUCUACAAGAGAGCCUCACAGACUCUACUGAUCAAAUGUAGCGCGGCUUUGUAAACAAGGCCCCAGGGCCUUGCGUGAGGACCAGCUCCCAACAGCAGGCCCUUCUCUUCUGCUUUGUUCAGCCUCAUAAAACAGCUUGGUGGUUCAUUUAGUGUCUUCAGAAGUGGUGAACGACUGCAGGUUAGUCGCAGGCACUGGUUAAGCCAGCCUUGCAAGUAUGGACAAGGGGUAACAUAACUAUCACCAGGACCAGUCCAUUCCCUUCAAGAGAGCUUGCACAUGUAUCUCUAGGCUUCUUAUCCCAGAGCCAAGUCAGCUGAUAGAAUUAACCUGGUGGCAGAUGCUGUCCUAAACCACAGUAGCUGAUUAAACUGUUUAAUGUUUAGACUUUAAUAGGAGGAGGCACUUUGGGCUUGAUUGAAGACAAAUGGGAAGGCUGGGUGGCAAGCAAGCCAAACUGGUCUAUUUAGGAGCAUAAAAGACACAGAACCUCUUUUGUGUUCCCACAAAGCAUGAGCCCAGAUUGAUAAACAUGCACACCCAGGCUUCAUAUGCAGAUCUAACUGGUAGAUCUAGAGAAGAAAGCAAAAACACCCAGAGGUGGUCAUCAAGUCUUGAGAAGUUAAACACUUUUCAUACCCAACACUUCAUUUUACUUUGGAAUAUCAGAAAAAUAAGAGUUAACAACUCACAUGGGAUUUCCAAUAG
rnacentral:lncRNA from 1 species